GAUGAACGCUAGCUACAGGCUUAACACAUGCAAGUCGAGGGGAAACGACAUUGGAAGCUUGCUUCCGAUGGGCGUCGACCGGCGCACGGGUGAGUAACGCGUAUCCAACCUACCCUUGUCCAUCGGAUAACCCGUCGAAAGGCGGCCUAACACGAUAUGCGGUUCACCGCAGGCAUCUAAGGUGAACGAAAUGUGAAGGAGAAGGAUGGGGAUGCGUCUGAUUAGCUUGUUGGCGGGGUAACGGCCCACCAAGGCGACGAUCAGUAGGGGUUCUGAGAGGAAGGUCCCCCACAUUGGAACUGAGGCACGGUCCAAACUCCUACGGGAGGCAGCAGUGAGGAAUAUUGGUCAAUGGACGGGAGUCUGAACCAGCCAAGUAGCGUGCAGGAUGACGGCCCUAUGGGUUGUAAACUGCUUUUAUAGGGGGAUAAAGUGUGCCACGUGUGGCAUAUUGCAGGUACCCUAUGAAUAAGGACCGGCUAAUUCCGUG
rnacentral:rRNA from 1 species